UAAUACGAAGGGGGCGAGCGUUGUUCGGAAUUAUUGGGCGUAAAGGGAGCGUAGGCGGUUCGAUAAGUCACUUGUGAAAUCUCUGGGCUCAACUCAGAGUCUGCAAGCGAAACUGUCGGGCUUGAGUAUGGGAGAGGUGAGUGGAAUUCCUGGUGUAGCGGUGAAAUGCGUAGAUAUCAGGAGGAACACCUGUGGCGAAAGCGGCUCACUGGACCAUUACUGACGCUGAUGCUCGAAAGCUAGGGGAGCAAACAGGAUUAGAUACCCUGGUAGUCCUAGCCCUAAACGAUGAUUGCUUGGUGUGGUGGGUACCCAAUCCCACUGUGCCGAAGCUAACGCGAUAAGCAAUCCGCCUGGGGAGUACGGUCGCAAGGCUG
rnacentral:rRNA from 1 species